rnacentral:rRNA from 1 species
GACGGACGCUGGCGGCGUGCUUAACACAUGCAAGUCGAACGGAAAGGCCUCUUUCGGGGGGUACUCGAGUGGCGAACGGGUGAGUAACACGUGAGUAACCUGCCCUUGACUUUGGGAUAACUUCAGGAAACUGGGGCUAAUACCGGAUAGGAGCUCCUGCUGCAUGGUGGGGGUUGGAAAGUUUCGGCGGUUGGGGAUGGACUCGCGGCUUAUCAGCUUGUUGGUGGGGUAGUGGCUUACCAAGGCUUUGACAGGUAGCCGGCCUGAGAGGGUGACCGGCCACAUUGGGACUGAGAUACGGCCCAGACUCCUACGGGAGGCAGCAGUGGGGAAUAUUGCACAAUGGGUGGAAGCCUGAUGCAGCAACGCCGUGUGCGGGAUGACGGCCUUCGGGUUGUAAACCGCUUUCGCUCAUGACGAAGCUUUGUGUGACGGUAGUGGGUAAAGAAGCACCGGCUAACUACGUG